rnacentral:rRNA from 1 species
CUACGGGCGGCAGCAGUGGGGAAUAUUGGACAAUGGGCGAAAGCCUGAUCCAGCCAUGCCGCGUGUGUGAAGAAGGCCUUCGGGUUGUAAAGCACUUUCAGUGGGGAAGAAAGCCUUGGGGCUAAUACCCUCGAGGAAGGACAUCACCCACAGAAGAAGCACCGGCUAACUCCGUGCCAGCAGCCGCGGUAAUACGGAGGGUGCGAGCGUUAAUCGGAAUUACUGGGCGUAAAGCGCGCGUAGGCGGUCUGAUAAGCCGGUUGUGAAAGCCCCGGGCUCAACCUGGGAACGGCAUCCGGAACUGUCAGGCUAGAGGGCAGGAGAGGAAGGUAGAAUUCCCGGUGUAGCGGUGAAAUGCGUAGAGCUCGGGAGGAAUACCAGUGGCGAAGGCGGCCUUCUGGACUGACACUGACGCUGAGGUGCGAAAGCGUGGGUAGCAAACAGGAUUAGAUACCCGAGUAGUC